GUGGCAAACCUGUAGGUGCUGGAUGGAAGUGUUCAAGGGUGCAAUCUGUAACUUGUGAGAUUCUCGUAUAAAAGGAAGAGAUAAGGGUUCUGGAUGAUUCAUUCACCAUUCUCAUCUUUUCACCCACAACCCUUUUCUCUCUGGUUUUAGUUGUUACGAUUUGUUGAUCUGUUGUCUUGUAUUCUUGUUGAUCCUAUGGGAUCUUGUAUAGUUGUAUUGUUUCUCUUGAUCAACUGACAUCAGUUGAUCUUGUUUUGUAUCUUGUUGAUUUAGAUCUUACUGUUGGUAAGAUCUAGGGUUUGGUUGGGCGUUUUCUGGGUUGGUAAACUAAUAAAAUUUUUCCAUCGCCAUUUUGUCACUACUUAGGUGUUAUUGUUCAUUUGCUAUUGUUCUAUAUAAUUUUACAUGGUAUCAGAGCGAAAUCGCUCCUGAUCUGUGUUUUUUUCUGCUGUGAUAUUUGAUCCGUUUGUUGAUUUGUGGUUUAGGUUCGCUCCUUGUGUUCUAGGGUUUGCGGAUCUGACUGUUGUGGAUCUAGAUCGUCUUGAUCUUGGAAUUUGAAGGUAUGCAUUACCAGACCUUAGGUACUAUGGAGCUUGCACGGGAGGCGCUGUCGUUGUGGGCACGGAUCGUGAAUGUUUCGUUAAACACUUUAUGACAUUUCAUACUGUACUUAUGUUGGGUUUUAUUUAUACGCUUCCACUAAACAGUGAUGACACACUUAUAUUUUGAACACCUUUCAUAUUGGUGGUUGAAUGACAUUACUUUUACUUAUUAA
rnacentral:lncRNA from 1 species